GUGAACGCUGGCGGUAGGCCUAACACAUGCAAGUCGAACGGCAGCACAGUAAGAGCUUGCUCUUACGGGUGGCGAGUGGCGGACGGGUGAGGAAUACAUCGGAAUCUACUUUUUCGUGGGGGAUAACGUAGGGAAACUUACGCUAAUACCGCAUACGACCUACGGGUGAAAGCAGGGGAUCUUCGGACCUUGCGCGAUUGAAUGAGCCGAUGUCGGAUUAGCUAGUUGGCGGGGUAAAGGCCCACCAAGGCGACGAUCCGUAGCUGGUCUGAGAGGAUGAUCAGCCACACUGGAACUGAGACACGGUCCAGACUCCUACGGGAGGCAGUAGUGGGGAAUAUUGGACAAUGGGCGCAAGCCUGAUCCAGCCAUACCGCGUGGGUGAAGAAGGCCUUCGGGUUGUAAAGCCCUUUUGUUGGGAAAGAAAACCAGCAGGUUAAUACCCCGCUGUUCUGACGGUACCCAAAGAAUAAGCACCGGCUAACUUCGUG
rnacentral:rRNA from 1 species